rnacentral:rRNA from 1 species
CCUACGGGUUGCAGCAGUGGGGAAUAUCGCACAAUGGGCGCAAGCCUGAUGCAGCCAUGCCGCGUGUAUGAAGAAGGCCUUCGGGUUGUAAAGUACUUUCAGCGGGGAGGAAGGCGAUAAGGUUAAUAACCUUGUCGAUUGACGUCACCCGCAGAAGAAGCACCGGCUAACUCCGUGCCAGCAGCCGCGGUAAUACGGAGGGUGCAAGCGUUAAUCGGAUUUACUGGGCGUAAAGCGCACGCAGGCGGUCUGUCAAGUCGGAUGUGAAGUCCCCGGGCUCAACCUGGGAACUGCAUUCGAAGCUGGCAGGCUAGAGUCUUGUAGAGGGGGGUAGAAUUCCAGGUGUAGCGGUGAAAUGCGUAGAGAUCUGGAGGAAUACCGGUGGCGAAGGCGGCCCCCUGGACAAAGACUGACGCUCAGGUGCGAAAGCGUGGGGAGCAAACAGGAUUAGAUACCCUUGUAGUC